rnacentral:rRNA from 1 species
UGAAUGUCCUAGGGGGUAUUGCACUUACCGAAGACUAUCAAACUCCGAAUGCCGUAUUCUUUUGCUUGGGAGUCAGACUAUGGGUGAUAAGAUUCAUAGUCAAGAGGGCAACAGCCCAGAUCGUCAGCUAAGGUCCCUAAAUGUAAGUUAAGUGGUAAAGGAUGUGGAAUUGCACAGACAACCAGGAUGUUGGCUUAGAAGCAGCCACUCAUUAAAAGAGUGCGUAAUAGCUCACUGGUCGAGUGACUCUGCGCCGAAAAUUUAACGGGGCUAAACUAUACACCGAAGCUUGGGAUACAUCUAAUGUAUGGUAGGAGAGCGUUCUGUAUGGGGAGAAGUCGUAGCGAAAGCGGCGGUGGACUAUACAGAAGUGAGAAUGCCGGAAUAAGUAGCGAGAAUUAAGUGAGAAUCUUAAUGGCCGAAAGUCUAAGGUUUUUGGAGGAAGGUUCGUCCGCUCCAAGUAAGUCGGGAGCUAAGGUCAGGCCGAAAGGCGUAGCCGAUGCACAUACGGUUGAUAUUCCGUAACCAUCUGUAAUUUAAGCAAAGGGACACUUCAAAAGGGUGUGACCCGGGCGUUGGUUGACCCGGGCGUAAGGGACCGAAAUUAGAGUAGGGAAGCACACUUAGCUGAAGGCGAGAAAAGCUUUGCGUAUAGAAACAGAUGCCCGUACCGCAAACCGACACAGGUGGACAGGAAGAGAAUUCUAAGGCCAGCGGGAGAAGGGUAGUUAAGGAACUCGGCAAAUUGACUCCGUAACUUCGGAAUAAGGAGUGCUCGAAAGAGCCGCAGAGAAUAGGCCCAGGCGACUGUUUAGCAAAAACACAGGUCUCUGCCAAAUCGAAAGAUGAAGUAUAGGGGCUGACACCUGCCCGGUGCCGGAAGGUUAAGAGGAGGAGUGAGAGCUCCGAAUUGAAGCCCCGGUAAACGGCGGCCGUAACUAUAACGGUCCUAAGGUAGCGAAAUUCCUUGUCGGGUAAGUUCCGACCCGCACGAAUGGUGUAACGAUCUGGGCACUGUCUCAACUACCCACCCGGCGAAAUUGUAGUACCGGUGAAGAUGCCGGUUACCUGCGGCAAGACGGAAAGACCCCAUGGAGCUUUACUGUAGCCUGAUAUUGGGUUUCGGAAAUCUAUGUACAGGAUAGGCGGGAGACUAGGAAACAUGAGCGUCAGCUUGUGUGGAGUCGAUGUUGGGAUACCGCCCUUAGGUUUCUGGAAUUCUAACCUGCGGCCGUGAAUCCGGUCGGGGGACAUUGUCAGGUGGGCAGUUUGACUGGGGCGGUCGCCUCCGAAAAGGUAACGGAGGCGCUCAAAGGUUAGCUCAGCACGGACGGAAACCGUGCCUCUGAGUGUAAACGCAAAAGCUAGCCUAACUGCGAGGGUGACGGCCCGAGCAGUAACGAAAGUUGGAGUUAGUGAUCCGGCGGUAUGUGAAUGGAAAUGCCGUCGCUCAACGGAUAAAAGCUACCCUGGGGAUAACAGGCUGAUCUCCCCCAAGAGUCCACAUCGACGGGGAGGUUUGGCACCUCGAUGUCGGCUCAUCACAUCCUGGGGCUGUAGUAGGUCCCAAGGGUUGGGCUGUUCGCCCAUUAAAGUGGUACGCGAGCUGGGUUCAGAACGUCGUGAGACAGUUCGGUCCCUAUCCGUCGCAGGCGUAGGAAAUUUGAGGAGACCUGUCCUUAGUACGAGAGGACCGGGAUGGACGUACCGCUGGUGUACCAGUUGUUCUGCCAAGGGCAUGGCUGGGUAGCUAAGUACGGAAAGGAUAAGCGCUGAAAGCAUCUAAGCGCGAAGCCCACUUCAAGAUAAGAUUUCCCACCGCAAGGUUAAGAUCCCAGGAAGACUACCUGGUUGAUAGGUCAGAGGUGUAAGUGUAGUAAUAUAUUUAGCUUACUGAUACUAAUAGAUCGAGGACUUGACCAA